rnacentral:rRNA from 1 species
AUGCAUAGGGAUGGAUUUGUAGACAUGAUCAAGAAUAUUUGGGAGAGGCCUGCUGUUGGUCGUACACAUAUUCAGAGAUGGAACUUUAAAAUAAGGGCCAUGAGGCAACACCUCUCUGGAUGGGCAAAACAUACCAACGGGAUUUAUAAAAAAGAAAAACAACGGCUCUCUACCAUUAUUGAUGACCUCGACAAAAUUGCAGAGACGCGCAUCUUAUCUCAACAAGAGAUUGAAUUAAAAAAUCAAUCUAAUGAGAAGAUUGCCCGUCUUCUGCGAGAAGAGGAGAUCAAAUACUACCAGAGAUCCAAAGCCGAUUUCAUUUUGAUGGGUGAUAGUAAUACAAGAUACUUCCAAUUGGUCGCUAAUGGCCGGCAUAGGAAGAAAUGUAUUUAUAGUCUCCAACAAGAUGAGGGGCGGAUCGAAGGUCAAGAGGAGCUCAAAAAUUAUAUCACCAAAUAA